rnacentral:rRNA from 1 species
UACGUAGGGUGCAAGCGUUGUCCGGAAUUAUUGGGCGUAAAGAGCUCGUAGGCGGUCUGUUGCGUCGGCUGUGAAAACCCGGGGCUCAACUCCGGGCCUGCAGCCGAUACGGGCAGACUAGAGUUCGGCAGGGGAGACUGGGAUUCCUGGUGUAGCGGUGAAAUGCGCAGAUAUCAGGAGGAACACCGGUGGCGAAGGCGGGUCUCUGGGCCGAUACUGACGCUGAGGAGCGAAAGCGUGGGGAGCGAACAGG